rnacentral:lncRNA from 1 species
GGGAAUCUAUGGUCAUAAAUUUGUGUUGUACAACACAUAAUGGAAUUCACCAAUUGUCCAAUUAAUUAUUGGUUCAAAGAACUCAUUUGUAACUCCUUACUAUUUAUUAUAGUAAAUUCUCAACCUCUACCUGUGGUUUUUCUCGAUUUGGAUUUCCAGGUAAAUCUUGGUUUCUUUGUGAUCUAUUAUUUCCAUAUUACUCAUAUUUUUUAGUUCUUUCAAUAUUUUGUCGGCUUCUCAAUAAAGUGGUAUCAGAGCUAUUCCGCUUUCAACAAGUAGUUUUAGAUCUGGUACGAAGGUUUUGGUGGUUCUUGAUAUGGUCAAAUUGGUUAUUAAGACGUGAUUUUAUUUUUCAUUUUUUGGGGCAAAAGUAAUUAAUAAAAUGAUUCGAAGACUUGUAAUAGUUUAGAGGAUAAGAGGGCGUAUGGUUUGUAGAUUUUUCAAUAAAUUUAUCUUUAUUAAAUAUUCUUUUAUUGGUUCCUGCUCAAGGCACUUCUAACAUAUAAAAAAGUAGUUUUCAUAUCCUAAUUGUUCGUAUUUCUUUUGUCCAUUUUCUGUUACAUUUUAAUUGUAGUGGUAUAAUAAGCUGUUAAUUAUUUAAUAAUUAUUUAUAUUAAAUAUCAUUCAAGUGUUUGCUUUCUUUGUUAUUUCAUUUUGUUAUGUAAUAGCCUUCAUAAAAAUUAACAUGUUAAGUAACGAUUUUUUUCCCUUUUAAUUUGUUUCUUUCUUUUUAUUUUAUAAGAAGAUAAAUUUUACUUUUGCUUCAAAUCAUUUGGUACCGCAUGAGCUUGAUUCUGCAAAAGGAGGAUGACCCCAGUAACUUGUUGUCAUAAAGUGUCUAAAUAAUUUUUAAUUAAAUUAACAGUCACUUUUCAAAACUUAAAUAGUCUUCCAAUCAUAUUUACAUUUCACAAUUGGAUACGUGUCUGAUAAAAUUUUAUUAAUUUUUCGUUUUCUCAAACUUAAUUAAUCCCGCAUAUCAUUAAAUUCACAACUUUAUUAACUUUUCCAACUACAUAUUUUAUCAAAUUUUAUCAAAAUAUACUAAAUUUUUUAUCAAGGAGUACUUAGAAUACCAUCAAUGUGAACCCCAUUUGCUUCUGAGACCCAUGUUUAAAUAUUGAUGUGGUAUACGAGGGAGGGGUUUAUCCAUUUGCAUUUACAUUUAACUUUCUAGUAUUUCUUUUGUUAAGGGACAUUUUAGCCUUUAUAUCAUCGCAGCCUCGUAAGGUUUUUUGAGGCUUUGUUACUAUUUAAGCUCUUUUACGAUUUUAGCUAUUGUCUUGAUCAUUUUAAAAUUAUGAAAUUCUUCCAAUUCUCAACCUUGUUCUUGUAUCUAGCGAAAUAAUCAAAAUCAGGUUAAGGUGUUGUUCUUUAUUUAAUUUACUUUUAAUUCAAAGCGGCAAUUAGCUUUUUUUAGUUAAAGUUUCAUAAUAUUUUGACUUAAAAAUUUCUUAGAAAUUUCUAUAAAGUGUCAGCGUUCCAAUUUCAAUAAAAAUAGAAUAAACUGGAAACUAUUAUUAUUAUUUUUUUAUUUUAUUUUUUGGAAACCUUUUUGUUAUGUAUUCGAAUUGAAAACGUUUACAUUCUAGAAUAAAUAGAAAUAUGCUACUCGAACAAGGCCAUAUGUGUCCUACUCGAAGGGGGUCCAAGUGACUCUCCUAUUGGUAGGAUGUCUAUGUGGCCAAGGCCCUAAAUUUUACAAAGUUAAUGAAGAUGACAAAUUUCUAUUUGUCGAUUAAUUGUUAAAUAAUUGAACGUAUUCAAGGCAGAAAAUGUGAUAAUUCUCAGAAAAUGUGAUGUCUGUGAUAAUUCUCAGAAAAUGUGUAGCAUGUCGGAAGCAACAUAUUCUGUAGUCACUGCUCACUUGUUGACAAAUUUACUUUUUUGGUUAUUGCUCACGUGUGGUUAUUUCUCACUUGUUGAUAAAUUUACAUUGUUAAUUAGUUUAAGCCUUUCAUAUUGAUUAUUAUUUUUGCAUUUGAUUAAUAUGAAAUUUUUAUCUUUAAUAUGCUCCCGGAAUACGGUGACUUUUUUGAAAGCACCAAUUUAGAAAUUCAACUUUUUAUCUGAACUUUAGUUGAAUGUUCGUUUAAACUCGUAGGAUUCUCAUAUUAUAUGGAGUCUUAGGAUUCAAUCUUAAAAUAAUCAAAAUCCGUUCAUUUGAUUGAUAUUUUUUAUUUUGAUAUGUGUGAAAAUUUUACCUAUUAAAUUAUUGAAGUAUCUUAGAAAUUGAGAGCAAAACUUAACCAAUAAUUGGGACAAAGGGCAAAAUAGAAAUCUGAUUAAAUUGACUGUUAACUGAAUUAUAAUACUUCAAGACUACAGCUCAAACGUGAUUUUUUUUUUUAAAUUUAAAAAUAAUUUUUCAAGUAAAUUUGACUGAAAAUACAAUUUGAAUAUUCAUAAAAUGGAUGAAUUAAACUGUCAGGUGUGGAAUUAGUGAAUAAGGACAUAUAUAGUAUGCGUAAUUGUAGAUUUUGCACAUUUCCCAUGUUCAUUUUGAAUCUCCAGUAAAACUAAGAAAUUUUCUUGUAGACUUUGAUUAGAUUGAUUGAAUAGUGUUGGAUCAUAUUAACAAAAAAUAAAUAUAAUUUUCUUAAUUUUACAAAAUUGAAUAACAUAUCAACUUAUUCAAAUAUUUGACGUUGUUACGUUAUAUAAUAGUAUCCCAUAGAGAGAAUUAAUUUGAUGAAUAGAAUUAUUAUAACAAACUUUUGAGGAUGAUUAAGAUAAUCACCUUAGUUUUGCUUCCUCCAUCAUAUGUUCUUGAAUCGAUUGCCACCACAAAAGAUUGGAUCCCUCAUAGACAAAUAUCUAUUAUGAAUGGAUCCAUUCAUGCCUCCAAUAUGAGCAGUUUUGAACAAUUAACUUUGGUUAUAAGUAGCUUCCAAUUAAUGAGAAAUUACGCUAAUAAGGUAUUCCAAAGAUAUUAUUGCGAGUAUUUUAAAGUGUAAGGUUUGAAAAUUCAUUAAUAGAAACUUGAGUACUCUGAUAUAUAAUUUUACACAGACUUGUGAAGAAGUUUCUUAUACUGUAAGACAGUAAUAAAAUGAUUAUUAAAACUAUUAAACUCAGCCUCAUGAAUAGGAAAACUUUAGUCAAUAUUUUUAACAUAAAUGUUGCUCUAAAUUGUAAUUGGUUAGUUCUGUGUUAAGAAUGAUUGUUCUUGAAAUGUAAUUAGAGUCAAGGAAUCAAGGGUUGGUUGUAUAUGUCUUGAAGAAUCAAAGAUGGAACAAGGAGAACAAAUUGCGGCAAAUUACAAGCUGGCCGAGCAAGGAGCACUCGAGCGAGGGAAAAAAAAAAAGAUCAAAGGCACCGCUUGCCAACCGUGUCUUUGGCGCUCAAGCAGUGAAUGAACCACUCACUAUCCGCAAGUAUGCUGCUCAUGAGGUGGUGUCAUCCAACAGAGACCUAUUCGAAAUUUUGACAAUUUCUCACAAUCCGAUUCAACCUCAAACACUAUCAUUUGGGUAUUGCUCACUUGUUGGCAAAUUUGUUUUUUGGUUCAUGUAGAACAGAACAAUGAUAUGUUCAUCGUGCCUUUUGAAUUCCAUUUUAAAGAUUGAC